CUGCCGCCCCACCUGCCCUCCCCACGUGUCGCCGUCCCCGGCCGCUUUCCAAUUACCGCUUCUUGUUCGUUUGCGGCGUGCCCUCGAUCCACGUCGGCGGCGAACGAGCACACACUCGACAUCAAAAACGUCUUGUGUGCGGGAUGUGAGGAGCCGGCCGCCGCCGCCCCCCGAAUGUGGAGUGAUGUCGGGCCGGAGUUUGCGUCGCCGUGGCAACGGUUUCCCUCCAGGUUCUUGGAAAAUGGAUGAAAAUUCUGAAAGAUAGAUUUUGACGAAUUGAAUCGAAAAGUGUAACGUAUCAGUGGUCUCGGACCAAGAUAAUGGGUACAAAUGAAAUUUUUUAACCAUCAAUAAUGGUAUUUUUUCACAAGAACACGUUCAGCAGGACUCUACAAAAACUGACACGAGGUUUCUCCGAAGUUUAACCACACAUCACUGAAGUGAGCUGCCGAAAUGGGCCUAGUCCACGAUGUUGUAGAAAAAUUCUUCCCGGAAUGUUGGUCUUCUGUCCCUUUCGAAAAUACGACUGAAUUAUAAAUGCUUCCUGUGAGUGAAUAUGCAAAGCCGAGGAAAAAAACAAGCAAUAAAACAACACGUAAAAUUAGACAGUUGUUAGAUCACCGCGAAAUUGAGUCUAAUAUAUCGACGUGAAACUUAAAACAAAGCUAAAAGACAGUUUAUAAGGAUUUUCAUCUUAAUUUAAUUUAAUUUCCGCACG